rnacentral:rRNA from 1 species
GGACUACAAGGGUUUCUAAUCCUGUUUGAUCCCCACGCUUUCGCGCCUCAGUGUCAAUGUCGGUCCAGUUGGCCGCCUUCGCCACGGGUGUUCUUCCCAAUCUCUACGAAUUUCACCUCUACACUGGGAAUUCCACCAACCUCUACCGAAUUCAAGCAAAGCAGUCUUGAGUGCAAUUCCAGGGUUGAGCCCUGGGCUUUCACACCCAACUUGCCAAGCCACCUACGCGCCCUUUACGCCCAGUAAUUCCGAACAACGCUAGCCCCCUUCGUAUUACCGCGGCGGCUGGCAC